rnacentral:rRNA from 1 species
AUUGAACGCUGGCGGCAGGCUUAACACAUGCAAGUCGAGCGGAGAUGAGGUGCUUGCACCUUAUCUUAGCGGCGGACGGGUGAGUAAUGCUUAGGAAUCUGCCAUUUAGUGGGGGACAACAUCUCGAAAGGGAUGCUAAUACCGCAUACGUCCUACGGGAGAAAGCAGGGGAUCUUCGGACCUUGCGCUAAAUGAUGAGCCUAAGUCGGAUUAGCUAGUUGGUGGGGUAAAGGCCUACCAAGGCGACGAUCUGUAGCGGGUCUGAGAGGAUGAUCCGCAACACUGGGACUGAGACACGGCCCAGACUCCUACGGGAGGCAGCAGUGGGGAAUAUUGGACAAUGGGCGGAAGCCUGAUCCAGCCAUGCCGCGUGUGUGAAGAAGGCCUUUUGGUUGUAAAGCACUUUAAGCGAGGAGGAGGCUACUAGUAUUAAUACUACUGGAUAGUGGACGUUACUCGCAGAAUAAGCACCGGCUAACUCUGUGCCAGCCGCCGCCGUAAAAC